UGGUCUGAUCUUCAGCAUCCUCCUGUCCUGCUGGAUUAUGUCAUGAACAGCUCUGCCUGGGGUCAUUUCUGAGGAGAUGUCUUGGGGGAUAGGAUCAUCACCUGUUGUGGACCAGCGUGGCUGCUUCAGUUGUCUAUCCUCGUGUUUGUCAAGAAGGGGACAAAUCCAGGCAAACAGGUGCUGAGACAGUAACAGCAUGAACCAGCUCCCCUUCCUUGGAUAUCAUCAAAACUCAGCAUCCUUCAUGGCCUCCAACAUCGAGGUUCUACAGGACUGAAGAUGGCAUCUGAAUUUUUGUGGUGUGCAGGUUACAUGGCAGAGCAUGUGGGCUUGGAUGGUUUUGCUGUGUGUGUUUGAGGGGCAGCUGGUCCUGAGGACCCCAUGCUUCCUCAGGUACAAUUUCAAAGGAAACCCAAAAUGCAAAGGAGGGGAAAAAAAUGGAACUGUUCUGCCUGGCAUUUGUGCAAACUGGCAGCUCAGCCAUGUUCUCUUGAGCCUUACUGAGUCUGAUCAUUUGUACUUCAAAAUGAAUUAGAGGAGAGUGUUUCGCGAGUUAAAGAAAAUGGAAUCUCCAGGGAAAAGGAAGGCAACCAAAAUAACUCCCAGCUCUGGGCUGGAGUCAGUCAAUGACAAGGCAAAACAAUGGACGUCCUUCUUUCCUUCCUUAAAUAUCAAAAUGCUUCAUAUCAGCAUUCUCAGACUAAAGCAGUUUGCUUUACUGAAGAUCACUGAGUUUAAAGACAGGUUUUCUUCAUUUUUCAGAUGGACUUUAAUUUAAAAGAAGGAAAAGCUGUGGGUUUGAGUUUGACAUUUUAAAGAUUAGAUAGUCUUCAAGCAAACUAGAAUACUUUGUUACUGGUCAGGCAGAAUACUUCUCCUUGACCCAAAAUGAAAUGAGUUUUUCUGGUUGUACUAAAAAUACUUCAUCUUCACCUUGGCUCCAAAACUAGGAUUUUCCACCAAUGCUUUUACUUUAGUGACCAGAAGAAACCCAUCACCCUUGUCUUCACCUUACUGCUGCAGUAGUAAAGGGUCUAAUUUUGGUUGCCCCUACUUUAAUUGGAGCAUUCCUUACUGAACCGCUAAUUUAUUGCUAGCUGAGAUCUUCGACAUCCAUGUUCACAGCCAGGGCGUGGUACAGAUCUCUCUCCAGCGAUCUUGGAUUCCUCAUCAAAGAGCUGCUAAGCCUCCCUGGCCUUCAGCCUGCUUAUUUACAGUCUUUAUAGCUCAGGCUCAGAACUUGCAGUUGAUGCUAGCUAAUGAAGAUUUGGAAAUCUUCAUUAACACAUGUGGCCCUUGUAAACCUUGGGGGUGUCAGUCGGGCCUGCAGUUGUGCCAGGACUUUGCUAAAGAAAAUGCUUCGCUAAAGAAAUGGAGAAACUGCUGUAAAGCAGCUUCUACUAGAACAUUUUGGAAGGCAGCUCCUGCCUUGGAGGGGUGAUUUUCCGAAGUCAUAAAAGGAAGUUACCUUCGAGAGCCUUGGUAAGAACUGAGGUCUCUGCACUUCAGCAAUCCUUUGAAGACCUCCUCCAAAACCCAGUCUCAGUAAAUGGCAGCUUGCUGCAGAGAGAAAGCAUCAAGGUUUUGUGGAAUUCUUUGCUGGUAGCAUGCCAAGGCUGCAUGAGAACUAUAGAAGCAUUAAGAUUGGAAGACACCUCUAAGAUCAUCAAGUCCAACCAUCAAUCCAUCUCCAUCAUGCCCACUGACCACAUCCCUCAGUGCCACAUCUUCAAGGUUCUUGAACACCUCUAGGGAUGGUGUCUCCGCCACUUUCCUGGGCAGCCCAUUCCUGUGCCUGACUACUCUUUCUGAGAAGUGUUUCCUAAUAUCCAGUCUGAACCUCCCCUGGCACAAGUGGAGGCCACCACCUCUCCUCUUACUCUUGCAAGUAGUCAGAGGGCACUGAGGGGUAUUUGGCAUGAUUUUCACAUCAUAUGAUGGUCUGCUGCUGGCUCUGGGCUUGGCAAACAUCCAUCCUUCUGUCUUGCCAUUAGAAGAGGAUGAUUUCCCACGUUGACUGCUGCAAAGCUGGCUGCCACCAGGGAUGGCACAGCCGUGUCUCUGAGUGGAGUGAUGGGGCCGUGACAGCUGCAGGAGGAGGUGGGAAUGGUGUGGGAAGCAUCCUGGUCAUGGGAACAAGACUGAUUUCCAGUGGGCUGGCAACAAUCAUUCAGCACAGAGAGGUCGAAGUUUUUGUACAGCAGCCUGGACCCAUGGGGCAUCUAUGGAUCUGCAUCUCCUCGAGAACUUGUGUGGGGAUCCACACAUCUGAAACCACUGAAAACCACAUCUCAUUAUCCCAGGACUGCACUGACCUCUGCUCUGCCUUGCCUGACAGCUGUUUAUUCUUAAAAAUGUCUGGUGGUGGAGACCCUUGGCUCUUCUGAAGCCAUUUCUCUCAACGUUUUGCUGCCUGAAGUGCUGGGAAGUGCUUCCUCACAUCCAGCUUUCUUCUCCACUUGCCCACCCCAGACUUCUUUACAGCUGCAUUUUAUAUAUGUAAAAACUACUAUCGUGUUGUCUUCCCUGUAAUUCUCUCCCACUGAGACUAAACAACCUCAGUUCGUUCACUUGAGCAUGCAACAACAAGAAGUUUGUUUGUUUGAAAUUGAGUUUUUCUAGUAUAGUGAUUCUAAUAACUCAUUCUAUGCCAAAACUAACAAACAUUUCACAAUUUUCUUUUCAAAUCUCUAGUUUUAUCGAUUGUUUUGACAAUUAAGUUGACAUUUUUUAGCACAGUGGUGAAAAUUAAAGCAAUUGCUUUCUGAUUUCUCUAUAUAUAGUGUUUGAAUUACAACUCAGCCAUUGAGCUAAUUCAGGAAAAUUAAAUGUCAUGAAAUAUUUAACAUGGUUUUUAAAAAGUAUUCAUUUAGAGAUGUCAAAAAGAUGCUUUCUAGAUACUUCGAAAAUAUUAGUUGCAAAAAUAUUUCUUCAGCUAUAUGAAAAUAUAUAGGAAUAAUUCGUCUCUCACACUUGUUUCAUUCCUCAGUUCUGGCUUUGCAAUCCGAAGGGGUAAAUUUAUAGUAUUUGGUAAAUGUAUG